CUAUAACAUGUAUGAUAUAAGUGCAAUGUUGAGCCAGGCUACCUUGGCCGCUGUCCAAAUGUAGACCGAGUGGGUGGCAGUUUACUUGUAGAGGAGAGAGCGCACUAAUGGAUUAAAGAAAUGGAUGUACCAGUGCUAAGGUACCCCAAUAGGAUUUUUGUUGGUGGAGUAGCCUUCCAGACUACGGCAAUUGAACUCAGAGAACUGUUUGAGAGCUAUGGGGCGGUGAGAGAUGUGAAAAUUGCAAGAGAUGGAGAAGGAGUUAGCCGUGGGUAUGGAUUUGUGACGUUUUUUCGUGAUGACGAUGCGAAGAAAGUCUUCAAAUUGGGUACGGUUUUUCACAAAGGAAAAAGGCUUGUGAUUGGCGAAGCAUAUCGAAAACUGGGGGGUAUGCCCAGGUAGAUUGGCCACCCAAGCAGAUUUUGCCACAAGCUCAACAAGCCUCACAUAUCCAACACAUGAUGGCACCACAACAGUAUCAUCAACUGUGUCAUCUUCCAACACCACAAAUGUUUCUGCAACCACCACAGCUUCACCAACAUGUAGUAUCUCAGUCAUCACCCCAAUCAGAACAGCAUCCUGUCAUAUGGCAGGCUGUCUACAGGCCCUUGGGUCCACCAUGACUUAGGCUGUCCCCCUUAAGGCUCUGAAGGAGGACUACAAGAUUUUGCAGGAUUUUGUAGGAUUUUGCCAACAUUGAAGAUAAAAUCGUCCUCUUGGACCCAUGGUAGCUUGGAGUUCAGAGUAGGCGAGCGCUUGCCUCUGACCUCCGCCGCGCCCUGUGUCCCAGAGAAUGAGAUUAAAUUAGCAUACAAAGAUAGUGGUCCAGGUUAUACCACAGUAGCAAGUGUUAUUGUACAUACUUGGCAGUUUUAAUUUUGGAAAUUAGAAACACAUCGGAUAUUGUUAAGUAAUCGACCGGAAGUAAACUGGUGACAAUGCGGCUUUCAAGUUAGGCCUGUAACAGAAGGAGGGGGGGUUAGGAUUGAUCUCUCAAACUUAAAAAAACAGAUUAGAGUACCACGGCGAUUUAC